AUGAUUAUAGAGAGGAUGAAACACCUGAUCCCAUUCCGAACUCAGAAGUGAAAAGCCUUUUCGCCGAUUGUAUUGCGUCUUAAGACGUGUGAGAGUAGGUCGUUGUCA
rnacentral:rRNA from 1 species